rnacentral:rRNA from 1 species
AUUGAACGCUGGUGGUAUGCUUAACACAUGCAAGUCGAACGGCAGCAUGAUCUUGCUUGCAAGAUUGAUGGCGAGUGGCGGACGGGUGAGUAAGCAUAGGAAUCUACCCUAGAGUGGGGGAUAACGGAGGGAAACUUUCGCUAAUACCGCAUAAUGCCUGAGGGCUAAAAGCUGCGCAAGCAGCUGCUUUAGGAGGAGCCUAUGUCAGAUUAGCUAGAUGGUAGGGUAAAAGCCUACCAUGGCGACGAUCUGUAGCUGUUCUGAGAGGAAAAUCAGCCACACUGGGACUGAGACACGGCCCAG